GUCCCUGUAGCUCAAUGGAUAGAGUGUUGAACUUCAAAUCCAAAGGUCGUGAGUACGAAUCCCACCUGGGAUG
rnacentral:tRNA from 1 species